GUGUCAGCAACCGCGAUAAUACGUAGGGUGCGAGCGUUAAUCGGAAUUACUGGGCGUAAAGCGUGCGCAGGCGGUUUUGUAAGACAGGCGUGAAAUCCCCGGGCUCAACCUGGGAACUGCGCUUGUGACUGCAAGGCUAGAGUACGGCAGAGGGGGAUGGAAUUCCGCGUGUAGCAGUGAAAUGCGUAGAUAUGCGGAGGAACACCAAUGGCGAAGGCAAUCCCCUGGGCCUGCACUGACGCUCAUGCACGAAAGCGUGGGGAGCAAACAGGAUUAGAUACCCUGGUAGUCCACGCCCUAAACGAUGUCAACUGGUUGUUGGGUUUUAAUUAACUCAGUAACGAAGCUAACGCGUGAAGUUGACCGCCUGGGGAGUACGGCCGCAAGGUUGAAACUUAAAUAAAUUGACGG
rnacentral:rRNA from 1 species